UUCCAGCUGAGUCCCCUUCUGUUGCUAUGUUUGCUGCUUUGAGUGGUUGGGGUUUUGUCGAUUUGGUGGCUUGAGUGUACCGGUGGAAUAAGCAAAGGAUGUGAUGUGAUCUUGUUUGUGGAGUUUAUCUGUACUCUCCUUUUUUCCUUUUAUUUCGGUUGAACUAUAGCGUCUGGCAUUGCGGAUGAAGGGAUUUGAUGGUGUGAGAUUUGGCAUAAGAGAAUUCCUGCCAUUUUGUGACCGAAGGGUUUGAGGUAUUUUCCGAAUUUUAAAACGAUGUCCAGCAGGACUAGUCUUUGUUUGGUUUACUCUCUCUCCUCCUUUCAAACCUUUUCGCUGAAUUUCACAACACUAGCACUGAUACAACGCAUUCAUCGUGAACGGCCCGUGAAUAAAGCGAGACGAUAAAAACAGAAUAAAAAACAAACAGAAAUAAAUAAAAACACGAAAAACACUCAGAAGUAGUUGUGACCGCUUCGGGCUGCAGGCUCUAGGAAGCAAUGUACACGUCAUUGCACAGAAUUUGAAUACCGGACAAAAAUAAAUAAUGCUCAAUCAAA
rnacentral:lncRNA from 1 species